UUGCCAGUGUGAAGUGACCCACACAACAGGAAGAAGCCUGCAGCACCCGUGGACAGACUUCUGCUGAUGUCAACACCAGACUCCACUCUCCGGAGAAGAGUGUGGAUGGAGGAGCUCCGCUGCUGCCUCGCUGCUUGAGCUUCUGGCUGUUGGCACAGAAGCACUGCACCCCCGAGGGCCUUUAGUGUGAGGCCGUUGCUGUCCAACAACCACCACCAGGAAGAAGAUGGGCAUGAAAGUGUGAGUGUCCGUACUGCCAGACUCACAGGUGGAGGUGCACUGCAAAGACCAGUCAACAUCCUGCCGGAGAGAGGCGGGCAGAGGGACGGGCGGUUGGACACGGCUCCUGUGGGUGUUUCUCUGGCAGUGUCUUAGCUGGUUGUUGUGAGGAGUGAGAACGAAGCAAUCAGCAAGUAUACUGCCGCAGAAAUUCUUCGCAAUAAGAAGCCCCGGGAUCCCACAGCCGUCACAGGGAGAAAAGAGAAAGGGAGGCAAAACGCGUAUCAGUAUUGUAGCAAACAUGGAUCCUGCAGCUGCUACUGUGAGUUUUUACAUGUGUGCCGAUAUUGCAAUUAACUAAAAAUUUGGACCUGGUACAGAAUUAAUUGCACAUAUAUCGACCGAGAGCAUGGCCUUUUUGUGAACAGCCUCUAUAAUAUUUACAAUUGGUGUUGUACUGUUAUGAUCCUCUGCUGCCAUCUUGUGAUUGGAAACAACCUCCCAGCAUGCUUUUGUUCAUUAAACACCGCAGCAAUUUGUAAAACCUACAUAGUAUUUUUUUUUUAUUGAGUCUAAAAUACCUUUCAUUCAGAAAAUAUGGCUCAGCUUACCGUGACUUGAGAUUCCUUAUCUUUCAGUUGCAAAUGCAUGUUGUUUUUGUCAUCAAAUUUAAUUUUGCUUAACAGUAAUACCUCUAGUAACAAGUACUUUUUCUGGAUGCGAACACAUCAAUAGUAGAUAUGAGAUGCAGCCUUAUCAUUUCUUUAUGUCAUAAAUUAUGAAAAGGUGCAAAUAAAAGUUACAUCAAGACUAAUAUA